AACUCAGGGAACUGAAACAUCUAAGUACCUGAAGGAAGAGAAAGAAAUUCGAUUCCGUAAGUAGCGGCGAGCGAACGCGGAUUAGCCCAAACCAAUAAAGUUUUCUUUAUUGGGGUUGCGGACAUAUCAUAACGAAGAGGUAUCGUAAUUGAAGAGGUUUGGAAAGACCCACCACAGAAGGUAAUAGUCCUGUAUGUUAAACGAGAAUACUUUAGAUAUGAUCCAGAGUACCACGGGACACGUGAAACCCUGUGGGAAGCAG
rnacentral:rRNA from 1 species